UCACCUUGCUAGUCAUGCUGGAGCAAUUUUUCAAUGUGCUUCCCAACGAUAAGGCGACGAUGCAUUUGUAUGUCAAUCCAUAUAAACUUUCGAUGACAUUGACUGCGCCUACCAUGGUGACCACGGGUAACGGGGAAUCAGGGUUCCAUUCCGUACAGGGAACCUGAGAAACGGCUACCACAUGCAAGGAAGGCAGCAGGCGUGCAAAUGACCCACUCCUGACGCGGGAAGGUAGUGACGA